rnacentral:rRNA from 1 species
GACGAACGCUGGCGGCGUGCUUAACACAUGUAAGUCGAACGGAAAGGCCCUGCUUUUGUGGGGUGCUCGAGUGGCGAACGGGUGAGUAACACGUGAGUAACCUGCCCUUGACUUUGGGAUAACUUCAGGAAACUGGGGCUAAUACCGGAUAGGAGCUCCUGCUGCAUGGUGGUGGUUGGAAAGUUUCGGCGGUUGGGGAUGGACUCGCGGCUUAUCAGCUUGUUGGUGGGGUAGUGGCUUACCAAGGCUUUGACGGGUAGCCGGCCUGAGAGGGUGACCGGCCACAUUGGGAAUGAGAUACGGCCCAGACUCCUACGGGAGGCAGCAGUGGGGAAUAUUGCACAAUGGGCGGAAGCCUGAUGCAGCAACGCCGCGUGCGGGAUGACGGCCUUCGGGUUGUAAACCGCUUUCGCCUGUGACGAAGCGUGAGUGACGGUAAUGGGUAAAGAAGCACCGGCUAACUACGUG